rnacentral:rRNA from 1 species
ACGAACGCUGGCGGCGUGGAUAAGACAUGCAAGUCGAACGAGAGAAUUGCUAGCUUGCUAAUAAUUCUCUAGUGGCGCACGGGUGAGUAACACGUGAGUAACCUGCCCCCGAGAGCGGGAUAGCCCUGGGAAACUGGGAUUAAUACCGCAUAGAAUCGCAAGAUUAAAGAAGCAAUGCGCUUGGGGAUGGGCUCGCGGCCUAUUAGUUAGUUGGUGAGGUAACGGCUCACCAAGGCGAUGACGGGUAGCCGGUCUGAGAGGAUGUCCGGCCACACUGGAACUGAGACACGGUCCAGACACCUACGGGUGGCAGCAGUCGAGAAUCAUUCACAAUGGGGGAAACCCUGAUGGUGCGACGCCGCGUGGGGGAAUGAAGGUCUUCGGAUUGUAAACCCCUGUCAUGUGGGAGCAAAUUAAAAAGAUAGUACCACAAGAGGAAGAGACGGCUAACUCUGUGCCAGCAGCCGCGGUAAUACAGAGGUCUCAAGCGUUGUUCGGAAUCACUGGGCGUAAAGCGUGCGUAGGCUGUUUCGUAAGUCGUGUGUGAAAGGCGCGGGCUCAACCCGCGGACGGCACAUGAUACUGCGAGACUAGAGUAAUGGAGGGGGAACCGGAAUUCUCGGUGUAGCAGUGAAAUGCGUAGAUAUCGAGAGGAACACUCGUGGCGAAGGCGGGUUCCUGGACAUUAACUGACGCUGAGGCACGAAGGCCAGGGGAGCGAAAGGGAUUAGAUACCCCUGUAGUCCUGGCAGUAAACGGUGCACGCUUGGUGUGCGGGGAAUCGACCCCCUGCGUGCCGGAGCUAACGCGUUAAGCGUGCCGCCUGGGGAGUACGGUCGCAAGAUUAAAACUCAAAGAAAUUGACGGGGACCCGCACAAGCGGUGGAGUAUGUGGCUUAAUUCGAUGCAACGCGAAGAACCUUACCUGGGCUUGACAUGUAAUGAACAACAUGUGAAAGCAUGCGACUCUUCGGAGGCGUUACACAGGUGCUGCAUGGCCGUCGUCAGCUCGUGUCGUGAGAUGUUUGGUUAAGUCCAGCAACGAGCGCAACCCCUGUUGCCAGUUACCAGCACGUGAAGGUGGGGACUCUGGCGAGACUGCCCAGAUCAACUGGGAGGAAGGUGGGGACGACGUCAGGUCAGUAUGGCCCUUAUGCCCAGGGCUGCACACGUACUACAAUGCCCAGUACAGAGGGGGCCGAAGCCGCGAGGCGGAGGAAAUCCUGAAAACUGGGCCCAGUUCGGACUGUAGGCUGCAACCCGCCUACACGAAGCCGGAAUCGCUAGUAAUGGCGCAUCAGCUACGGCGCCGUGAAUACGUUCCCGGGUCUUGUACACACCGCCCGUCACAUCAUGGAAGCCGGUCGCACCCGAAGUAUCUGAAGCCAACCGCAAGGAGGCAGGGUCCUAAGGUGAGACUGGUAACUGGGAUG